CCGCCAAACGCAGCCCGCAGACGAGAGAGAGAAGGGGGAUUUUGAGUUUUGACGGACGAAGGCGCCCAGGAGUCCAGGACGACGCAGGAAGGUGCGGCCACCCCGCCGCGGACGACCACGAGGGCAGAGCUCCGCGUCCAGACCUCCUUCCAGCGCCUCCUGAUCCCUUCCUCGCACGCGUCUAGGGUUAAGACCUCUUUCUACAGGAGGCACAUCAGAUUGCCUGCGGAAGCCUUUAAAGAAGUUGAUACCAUUAAUGAAAGGCGGUACAUCUAGCUGGCCAUGAAGGGCAUUUUGGUCUGAUUUGCACUGGAAGAAACAUGACUGAAGGACUAAAGCAGUGCUUCCCUCUCUCUGCAUUUGUAGCAUUUUAGGUGAUGAUUUGCUCAAAAAAAGUUCCAUGUUCGUCCAUCAUUGGAAGAUUUUCGGUUGCUCGCUCAUGCCGCAGCGGAGCUGUUGUAUCAUUGGAAGACAUAUGUUGCCACAGACCAAAAACAAGAGGAAAUGACAGUUUAAUUAUUGCUGCUACACGCUAGCAACGUACGGGUAUUGUACUAUACUAAUUAGUUUCUGUCCCCCGUGCAGUACAAUGGAAUAAUGACUAGGUCUUUGUUAAUAAGUUUGUGAUAAUUUAAUUUAUAUUUUUGUA